rnacentral:lncRNA from 10 species
GGAGGACGCUGCGGAUUCGCGAGCCCGGGAUGAGGAAACUGAGGCUGAGAGGGUAGAGAACUUUGCCUGAGGUCACUCAGCAGGGACCCACCCAUCACAGUAAAUGCCAGCACUGCUGAUGCCAAAACAAUGUUAUUUGUGCCUGAACACCCUGUCCUACCUGGUCCUACCUGGAUGCUGGCCUCAGUAAGCUCCUGGGCUCAUUGAAGAUGAACCUAGCAGUAGUAUUUACACCACUUGUUGUGUGCCCACUGUGGGCCCGGCGCCAUGCCGAGUGCUCUAUGGAUGUGAGUGCUGGGAGAGAAAAGCAUACGACAUAGACAGGGAGGUCAAGCUCCACCACGCAGAUGAGGUGCAGGCCACCAGUCUUCCUCUGCCACAUCUCUUUCUGAAAAGGACUUCACAUUCACCCUUGCAAUCCAUGUGGGGACACUGUUGGAUAGGAGGCGUGGUCCCAGCGUGGUCUCCCUGUCUGGGCCUCUGCCUAUGCCAAAUGUUUGCCUUACGCUGCACACUCAAGAGGUUCCAUGUAUACAGAUGGGAAUUCCAGAGCUACAGAAAAGGCAGCAAGCACCAUGAUUUAAGCUAACCAGUGUGGAUUCACACCUUCCUCUCUCUCUAUCAGUGGCAGAACUACCAGCUAGAGUAAGAAGUGGUUGAUCCAGGACCUAAACAUUCUGGAAACUCUUGCCCACUUCUGGGAGAAAUGACCCAAUCCAUAGUACUAAGCACACCUUAACUUUCGUAGGACGCAGGCAAGUUGUCAUACCGUGUGCCUAAAUAUAGAAAAAUGAUCCACUGGACUAAUAAAGUGUUAAAUAAAAUAUGUCCUGACUGUCUACUUUGACAACAUACUUUCAUAAUGACAAAACUUAAAAAUGUAUAAAGCUAUGGUUUUUAUAUAGUUGAAAAUUGACAAAACAGAAGACUAAAUUUACUUAUUAUUGCACAUGAUGGGCGGGCUAUGUUUGGUUGAG